rnacentral:lncRNA from 1 species
CUUUUUUUAUACACACCCAACAAUGAUCUAAUAUAUACCUCGAGGCCCUUUUUUCUCUUUCUAAUUUUUUUUCUUUUCUAAGAUCUUUGCAUCUAAAAGUUUAUGAAAUUUGGGUAUCAUUUUAUAUAGAAGUGUGUAUUGAGACGUCAAAUGAUUAUUUUACUAGAUGUGUAUCAAUUGACCUUAUACUAUGUAUUAGUGAAC